CAGAACACCAGGGGGUCAGCCCUACCAGCGGCGAAGGACCUCUUCUCGCCUUCACUCGGAGCACGGUCGGGCAACAGCUGGGACACAAGAGGCACAGUUACUUGGACUUGGUUUGCUCUCACCUCUCUGCUGGACACAGCGUACAGGUGGCGGACUUACGACACUGAUGUCUUCGAUGCGUCAGCUGGAGUAAGCGGUUUUCAUGUGGCGUCGGGGACUAACCCUCUCGACAAGCUCGGCGGUUGCGGGGAGGGGGAAACAUCGUACUGUCUCACCGGGCCGAGCGCUGCCCUUCCUUCACCCUCCUUAGGCGUUCGAAUACAGGACGGGGCGCCCUUUCGACGAGACCUCGGGACAGACGGGAUUUUCCACUCCUCUCUCUUCUGCAACGGUAAGUAGCACACAGAUGACAAUAUCCACAAUAGUGACUCGUAAUCGUACUCACACAACCGUACUACUCCAGCACUUCACCGCCACUCCUAGACCCACUCCAAUGUCAGGAACCGGACUCGUUCUGGACUCCACACUGUUACUCUCUACCUGGGACGUGCUCACAACAUAUAAUUAAUGGCCACACUGAGACCGACAGCCUCUUCGUUUUCCCUCGACGAGACGUACAAAGGCGGGGGUUUGGUCUGACAAGACACACAGCAAUACACAGCAAUACACAGCACCACGACAAAAGUGAAAGUUCCACAGCACAAAGACUCACCCACCACGAUCCAGUGUACACUCAAGAUGCACGCCUUUCUCCACUUCGUUGGGGUCUGUUCGGCGAUGGUAUUCGCAGCCCAGUCAGCAGAUACGUCGCCGUGGCUAGCCCCAGCCAAAUGUUCUUUAGGCUCUCCCACCAUGCUAAUUUAGGGGUAGGGCCUUCCUCCUCCUUCACUCAGAGAUUAAUCGCUUCACAACAAAUUAUCCACACAAUGUGUAUUCAGCUCAGUGUGUUAUACUCACGGAUACGAUCACCUUUAGUUCCAACUGUCCUUUGUUCUAAUUCCCCCGGCGAUCGCUUCGGUCACACACACAGGACGUCUCUCCUCCUAGCAGAGUUACACAGCAAUAUCAUACAUCUCAAUGUUCUCCAUGCAGAAAUACACUCACGCUUUCUCUACUUCCUCUUCAUUAGUAUGUCUCAGUUUCCAAUGUUUCCAAUCUUGCUUCGACCCUUAAGGUGUCCAAAGUCCACGCAGUCAUAUAAACUCCAGCGAGAGAGAGAGAUCAACAGCCCACGGCCAACGUACUAGAGGGUACAAACGCAGCGCUUCACACUGCACACAACAACAACCCAACUGUGAUUUUAGCUGUUCUUAAAUACUGCCCUUGU